UACCUAAAUGCUAGCUCACACACUAAAUUCAAAUAAAAUUAAAAAUAACCCCUAAUACCCUAAAACCCAAUAUUAAAACAUUUUAUUACCUAAGUAAGGGAGACUGAAAAG
rnacentral:rRNA from 1 species